UCCAACAGUUAGUAGGGUUUUGGGCCGAGA
rnacentral:piRNA from 1 species